GCCUAGUCGUAAACUUUAAAUUACAAUUCCAUCGCCUGAGAACUACGAGCUAAGCUUAAAACUCAAAGGACUUGACGGUACCCCAUAUCCCCCUAGAGGAGCCUGUCCUAUAAUUGAUAAUCCCCGUUUAACCUUACCAUUUUUAGCUACUCAGCCUGUAUACCUCCGUCGUCAGCUUACCACGUGAGCGAAACUUAGUGAGCUUAAUGCAUAUACACCAAUACGUCAGGUCAAGGUGCAGCAAAUGAAAUGGAAAGAGAUGGGCUACACUCUCUAACUUAGAGAAUACGAAAAACUAUUUAUGAAAUCUAGUUGAAAGGCGGAUUUAGCAGUAAAAAGAAAUCAGAACA
rnacentral:rRNA from 1 species